GUAAAGGCAAAAGAGAGCUUGAUUGCAAGACAUAAAGGUCGAGCAAGGAUGAAAAUCGGACUUAGUGAUCCGGUGGUUCUGCGUGGAAGGGCCAUCGCUCAACGGAUAAAAGCUACCCUGGGGAUAACAGGCUUAUCUCCCCCAAGAGUCCACAUCGACGGGGAGGUUUGGCACCUCGAUGUCGGCUCAUCACAUCCUGGGGCUGUAGUAGGUCCCAAGGGUUGGGCUGUUCGCCCAUUAAAGUGGUACGCG
rnacentral:rRNA from 1 species